CAGUAGCCGCGGGAAAACGAAGGGGGCUAGCGUUGCUCGGAAUGACUGGGCGUAAAGGGCUCGCAGGCGGUUUCUUAAGUCUGAUGUGAAAGCCCCCGGCUCAACCGGGGAGGGUCAUUGGAAACUGGGAAACUUGAGUGCAGAAGAGGAGAGUGGAAUUCCACGUGUAGCGGUGAAAUGCGUAGAGAUGUGGAGGAACACCAGUGGCGAAGGCGACUCUCUGGUCUGUAACUGACGCUGAGGAGCGAAAGCGUGGGGAGCGAACAGGAUUAGAUACCCGAGUAGUCCCUGUCUCUUAUAC
rnacentral:rRNA from 1 species